rnacentral:tRNA from 1 species
GCUUAGAUAGUUUAAACAAAACAUUGGUCUUGUAAGCCAAAAUUGAGAAUAAAAUCUUUCCAAGCU